AGCUAGUUCAUACAGCAGAUCCCUCACCCACGUGGACCUUCUAAAACGUUACAGGAGGAGCGGAACAGGCACUCUCUGAGGAAGACUCCAGGCAAGAAAGCAAACUCAGAGCUUGUGCUUUAUGAAUGCAGCCUCUGAAGAGCAGACGUCCUCCAUGCUCCGCUCACAGUUGGACCCACUGCUACAGAAAGGUGGGUGAGGGCCAGAGAGAGCACGGGGACAAACAUGCUUCCAGGAUUCCAGACACCCUCAAUGAGUGGACAAGCAAACCAACACUGAGAUCAGCAAACCAUAAGGGAGCAAGGGAAACCCUUCAGAUAAAAGCACCCCACGGAAGCGAAUGGCAGGCUUUGUGACUGCUCCAAAGGAAAGCCUUGAGUCAGACACUAAGUGAGGAGGGCAGUUAGCUCCAUGAAGUCAGAGCUCCCACUCCCCUGAGCCAGCUCGAGGGCACAGAGGCAGCUCUGUUCUCUGCAUUUCCUUCUCUGUGGUCAGGCUCCCUAACAUAACCCUGAGCUGAAAGAGUUAAGACAGCAUCAGUGUUCUGGAAGACACUAAGUGAGUUUCACAUAGCUGGCUCCUGUACUUCAGUUAAAAACAGAACAAUGACAGAGGGCUGAGCUUGCCCUCAAGUGAGUGGUACCUCCAUAUGCACAGAGCUAGAAGAGGGUGGAAGGGUCCCAGCGCCCGGGACGCACCCUUCACCUGGGAGCUCUACAGGGCACACAUCAGGACAAACACUUCUUUUACUUAGAUUCCAGAGUUUUGACUUUUGCCCCAGUGUUUUUAAGAAAACAGAAGACUAAGAAAGUUAGUAUCUUCACAAGGCACAGCACCUGUGCGUGGUUCCUCUAUUAGCAACCCUGCUGGUUUCCCGCUGAAGACACAAAUCCCUUCGGCAGUCUCCUCUAGCUCACCAAGGCCGUUCUCUCACAGCACAGUGAGGGCCUUCGCUGGGGUCCUAGCUGGACAUGUUCUUUCAUGCCCGAGCCCAUGCAAAAUGCUUUCCAUAAAGCAGGCGUGAUGAACGACUGAGAGCUGUCCUUGUGGCUCCUGAGUCAUCUCUCUGUGUCACAAAGAACUCCAAAAGAGCCAUGAUCACAUAUGAUCUGCCCACAUGUCUAGCCUUGCAUGGAACAAUUGAAAUCAUGCAUUUAUUCCACUAGUCGAAAUCUCAGGCAAACACCCACUGAAAGGCAGUGGGCAUUGUGACAGAGAUCACAAGCAGUUAGAUCGAUGGUCAUGUCACAGCUGUCUGGGCUUCACAAGCACAGAAGUGAAAGCUGGCAGCAGUCGGGAAAGCUUGCCAAGGUCACACACCAAGGAAACAUCCCUGUUAGCCUCAAAUUCGGAAGCUUUUCAUCAUCACGUGUUUCUAGCAUGCCACGUGCAAUCUACAUCUAAGCAGAGGAGAAGUCUGAUUUGUACUCGCUGAAGUGUAGAGUGGAUUAAAUGGCCUUUGCAGCUUACAAAAAGCAGAAAAAUGUAGAAAAUACAGGAAAACUUGCAUUCUUAGGUUUAUUGCUUUUUCUGAGAAGCACAAACAGUCAAGAAACAAACAUAUCAAUAAACCUAGAGACAUACACAACACAGCAUUUAAAAUAUUUUUAAAAGUUCUUAAUUAUACAUUAGUCACGAAAAGUCAUUAUGAUAGUUAUUUGACCAAAACAAAACAAUAAAAAGAAGCUAUUUACCAUCUAUAUUUAUAUAUUUAUGCUCAAACACAUUUAUGUACAGAUUUUUUGCAUUUUAAGACAUGUAUGAUCAUAGCAGUCAAAAUAUUCUUCAAAUUGCUUUUGCAUACAGCUACAUGCUGUGGAUGCAGCACCCAUCUGUAACUAGCUCUUUUUACCUGCUGUGGAUCUGUCCAUUGCAUACAUACGCUUUAUUAACACAAGCCCUUGUGAUGGGUAUGCAUGUCCUGCCUGGGCCUGCUGAAAGGACUCACCACGAAGACCUUAGAGAGUUGUGCAUACAUUCUGAGAGACCAAUGCACACAGGAGAGACCGCUGAGUCAAGUGGCAUCCCAAUUUCAAAUAUGAUCAGCACCAUGUAUGCACCCCCCAAAACAUCACAUGCAAGUAUGUAAAGAGCAACUAAGAAAAAGAAACCCAUAUUUCAUCUAUUACAUGAAAGACCAGCAUUAUAAAUUUCUAUUCGGAAAAGGCCUCGCAUAAAGAUCUAGGGGAGGUGUCUGGAAUACCGUCAUUCUGUGGAGAUGCUCAAUCUCCUAACCCUAUGUUUCUCAUGUCUUCUGCAUUCCAGAGGUUAUCUGUCACUGUGAAGUUGUCUCCAUAACAUGGAACCAUGGGAGAACUUCAAAUAAAAGUGAAAUACAUGAAGAUUUAACAAUGUCCAUUAUAUUAAUUACUUAAAGUCUGCUUUAAUUUUAUCCUUUACACAUCAAGUGUCUAUAGUUUAGAUUCCAAAACACAACUAAUUCUUUAAGUAGUUACAUGUUGGUAAGGGUACUACUGAUACUAGAACAUCUAUCUGUUCUACUUACUUAUUCUUUGUUUCUAAGGAAAUAGCAAUGCCCACCAAUAUUAUAUUGCAGUUUCAAAAGAAACCGGAACACUCUGUGUUGCAGUGAAACAUAUUAACAGGAAGCAAACAACUCAGAAUAGUUUUAAUAAGAUUCUCUAGGCCUCUUGACUAACAAUAUAUAGGCAGUGAAGACGGCUUGGUCACUCUCCGACUACCAGCUGCCUGAAAGCAGCAGAGACUCAGUGAACUACCUACAACAGGUUUUCAGCUUGUGAACUGUGACCCAUGUUGUGGUCGAAAGACAAUUUCACAGGCCUGCCUGAGCCCAUCGGAAACACAGAUAUUUACAUUAUGAUUCAAAACAGUAGCAAAAGUGAUGUUAUGAAGUAGCAACAAAAGUAAACGUCAUGAUUGGUCACCACAACAUAAGGAACUGUAUUUAAGGGUCAGGGUGUCAGGAAGGUUGAGAACACCUGGCCUAGAAGGAGCAGUGAAGCUGCACUGACUGGGAGAGGUACAGAGCAGUGGUGUCCCCGAGGAGGACAGGGCAGCCUGCUGAGUUGCCUGCAGGCUGGGUGGUCCGCUUCAAGUUUCCAGCUCCUGUGAGCGGUCCCCGUGCUGGGAUGAGGCUUGUAUCUGAGUCCCUUCUGCUCACCCACAUUCCUGUAAGGAACCACAAUAAACUUCCCUGCUCUGUGUUCUGGAGAGGGCUCCCUAUCUGAGGUGAGUAUCCCUAGGGAAAGGCAGAUCACACCACAGAGAUGCAUUUUCUCAUAUUCCAAGGGGAAUAUUUCAAUAUAUUUUCUUUCAGUUUUGGAAGAAAAAGCAACACUAAGGGAAGAGUAAUAGGAAAGCUGAGACAAUGUUAUGGUUUGGUGCUGAGAUGAACAAACCUUUACAUAAAUAACUAAGCCAAUAUGAGAUCAAAACAGACAUGUAGAGUGCAAGCCCCUUCAGUAUAGAAACAGCGUCUUUGAUGCCUGCAUGUACGCUGAGCCCUGGAGCAUGUUUAUCCUGUACCGCCAACCCCAUCUCUGUUCUCUAGUGAUUAUUUUCUCUUCCUGAGCUUUCUACUCCAGCCAAGGACAAAGGAGAGCGGUCUGUCUUUGGUAGGGGGACUACUCCUUAUCCCUAUUUACUUGGUGCAAACAUGGUCGAGUUCCUCUGUGAACUGAUCAUUUCGCAGAGGUCGUUCAGACCAUAACUUUAGAACCCAAUCACUACCCUGAUGGUCCUUCUUAGGAAAUGGGACCCAGUGGGAAUGUCUGCUCCCGCUGCUUAGUCUAUGGGUCAGCAUUUUUAUUCCCUUGUACUUAAUUCCUGUAAGUGGCAAUUAUUUAAGAUACAUUUAGAGAAGGUACAAUCCACAUUCAUCCAAUAAAACCUAAAUAUUAAAAAGCAAAGAAAAAUUCAGCAUGGUUACUAACGAUAAAUGGGCCAGCAUUUCACAUUUGAAAGGGAUCAGCAAGUGAUACAUGAGUAAAUGGGAAGAAAAUGCAGGCUAAAAAAAAAUUAGGCAGAAUUAAAAGGGCAUACUAUGUGUCAAAGAGACAAAGCAUUUUAAUUACAAAAGGUUAAUAUCAUAGCCAGAGUUGAGACAUAGGUGGAAAGAUCACUCUAAUAAAUAGUACCUGAAAAUCCACUCAAAGGUACUCUAUACGAAUCAUCCAAAGUUUAGACUUUUAACUAGCAGAUGAUUAACAAAAAAGAUCAGCACACUGUCACCACACCCUCACACACCGUCACACACCCCCGCCACACACACACACACACUCACACUUUAUACAUAGCAGCCUAUUUGACUUAAGAGCUGUAUCUAUGCAGAGCCCUGCCAGGAAAGCCGCACCAGCUGUAUGACUGUGACAGUAUGAGGAAAGCAGAGAACUCUGAAGUUAAGAAGCCCAUGGGCAAGUUCGUAGCAAAUUAUCUGAGGCAGACAAAAACAACGCUGUUAAUUCAAAGGACAACAUAUCCAUGAUGCACACUGGCUAAAGCCCUUGAUGUUAGUAUUAAGCAGGUAACGAUAGUAUUCCACAUCUUACACCACACACCUUUAGUAGAGACACUCCCGCUUCCCAUGGUGAAGAGUUCAAGACAGGUAAAUCACUGUGAUUGAUUCAAAUGCAGUCGCACAAUACAGAGAAUCUGGCCUUUGAUUUCACCGAUUACCUCCCAGUAGUUACAACAAAGAA